rnacentral:rRNA from 1 species
GACGUAGGUGGCGAACGUUAUCCGGAAUCAUUGGGCGUAAAGGGUGCGUAGAUGGCCUGAUAAGUUAGCAGUGGGAAAUCGAGGCUCAACCUCGUGGAAGCUGGUAAUACUGUUAGGCUCGAGUGCAGGAGAAGUUAACGGAACUCCAUGUGGAACGGUAAAAUGUGUAGAUAUAUGGAAGAACAUCAAUAACGGCGAAGGCAGUUAACUAUUCUGUUACUGACGUUGAGGCACGAAAGCGUGGGGAGCAAAACGG